rnacentral:lncRNA from 1 species
AAGCCACUACCUGCUGCCGAUCAACACAUUUUGCAACCAGAAGCAAGAAAGUUUUCAUGAGAUAAAUAAAUCAGAAAUUAAAUUAUCUUCCCCGUCAUGUUGUCCGUAAAUCAGACUCAACCUCAGAUCCAACUGCACUAAUCCAUCUUUUGCUGAAGCAAUGGGUUAUCCUGUCCAAAGAUGGAACUACAGCAGACCCCCUAAAAUACACAAACAAAAGUUACCAAAUGGGAGGACAUCCACCAUCAAUUUUCGAGAGGAAAAGCAAAACCGGGAUAAGGAGAAAAUACUCAAACUUGAAGCUGUUUCUUCUACGAAAAAUCAUAUUUUAACCAUUUCCUUCGAAGUCUAUGCCAUCUCGUAAAAGAAAACCAAACCAACGGACAAGAGAAAUCAUAAUCCAAACCCACACAAUCGAAAAAUAGACAAAAUAGUGGCCGAUAAGGAAACAUCAUACCACAUGCCGUAUCAAAAUCACCCAAAUAGAUUUGAAAACAUAUGGUCAUAUUUCAAAAUUGAAUGAGAAGGAUGAUGAUUACAUAAGAAUAUACAAUCUGGAACUGACAAAAACCCCCACUGAUCGAUAAGCUAAUUAAAUCACAAAAUAAAUUAUCUUGCCAUCAUCAGAUCCAACCGAGAUCUCUAGCUUAAGCAAUUGGCGAUCCUAUCCACAGUAUUCAAUUGUACUUAAGCUCCUUAUCCAGGUAUACAUACGGUCUAGUAAAAUCAGAUCCUCGUUCUACUUGCACAGUUAGCUUAGCUCCAUAAAUAAAGAUGAAACACAACCUUCCUAAAACAACAAAACAGAAAGUACCAAAUAGUAAUAAAGUAGUAAAGCAGUAAAGGGAUUUAAAAGAUACAUUAAAAAAAUUGUGAUAUAAAGUUAGAAAAAUAAGGAGGGAGAGAGAGAGAGAGAGAGAGAGAGAGAGAGAGAGAGAGAGAGAGAGAGAGAGAGAGAGAGAGAGAGAGAGAGAGAGAGAGAGAGAGAGAGAGAGAGAGAGAGAGAGAGAUUGAAAUAUCUGGAACUGACGGGAGUUUCAGAGCUGAGUUCUUAC